CAGUCGCCGCGGGAAUACGGAGGGCGCGAGCGUUACCCGGAUUUACUGGGCGUAAAGGGCGUGUAGGCGGCCUGGGGCGUCCCAUGUGAAAGGCCACGGCUCAACCGUGGAGGAGCGUGGGAUACGCUCAGGCUAGAGGGUGGGAGAGGGUGGUGGAAUUCCCGGAGUAGCGGUGAAAUGCGCAGAUACCGGGAGGAACGCCGAUGGCGAAGGCAGCCACCUGGUCCACUUCUGACGCUGAGGCGCGAAAGCGUGGGGAGCAAACCGGAUUAGAGACCCCAGUAGUCCCUGUCUCUUAUAA
rnacentral:rRNA from 1 species